ACCUACUAGUUUCAUACUGUUCAUCUUACACCAAAUGGAACCAACUCUACUGUGGGGUGUGGCAGCCGCGUUCAUGUGAAGAGCCCCAUGGCAACACUCAGCCUCCAAACCUCAGCAGAGACUAGAAUAAAAAGUGGUGCUAGCAGAUGCUGAGCAGGAGAGGAUGACUUCCUGAUACACACGGUCAGAGUGCAGAGACCCGUGGAGAUGUUCCUCACCCAUGACCAGCUUGACAAGGGGGUGCCACCCAGGUCACAGCAUCUUCAGUGGCUCUAGGGAGUAAAGUUGCAAUGGUCUUACUGUAGAAGAACAACAGAAGAACAAAGUAUUUCUACCACUUAAGAAGAGGAAGAAUUCCAUAACAAUCUGUGGCUUAGCAUAUUGCCGAACAAAGAAAAUUCAGAAGGAAAUGUGGAAAAAAGAAGAACUCUUACAAAUAUUGGACAUAAUUUCUUACAAUAAAAUAUUAAAUUACUUUC